AGGCCUCCAGCUGCAGUUGUUCCUAGUGACCAGGAUUGUCGAAGCGAUCCCACCGAAUCUUGGGAAGCUGAUUUUUAAAGAGGCCACCCAGAAACUGAGCCGUCAGUCUCCCGCGCACGCCCCAGCGCAGGCCGCUCCUCAGGCGGGUGCGCGUGCCCACCGGUCCUCCACCCGGCCACCACCAGCACCCUGCCACCAGCCCUCUGCCCGCGCCCCUCCGGCCCCGACCUGGUCCGCCCUCCUGGGCUUUCCAGCGCGGAGCCUGCAUCCUCCCGGCCCCGCGCCUGGCCCGCUGGGGGUGGUGCUUCGGGCUGCGGGCCCCGAAGCGGCCGCCGCCGACGCCUCCGCGCGCAAGCCGACUGGACUGGGCUCCUGGAAGCCGGACGCGGGGACGCUGGCCUGUUAUCUGGACCGGGGUGGGAGGAGGCGCCGACACCGGGGUCCCGCGGACGCCCUGUCACGCCCCCUACGCCGCACACCCGCGCCCCUCCCGCCCGCGGUCGCAGCGCUCGCCUUCGCCGCGGCCACCCCCUCGUCGCCGGGGCGGACACUGAGCCACCUGGCACUGCCUCCACCGCCACACCGCCCACGCAGCACCCCGCGAGCUCCGGCCUUACGCCACCCCCAGGGCAACCACGCUGGGUCCUGGGCAGCCCCAGAGACAAUGGCUCACCCCGCCGCGCUUCUGGUCGGCCACACGGCUCCCCCUUUCCCUGGGCAGCGGAUUUCACAGCUGCCCCGUUUCACAGAAGUGUAGACCGAGGCCGGGGAGAUGACAGGCGAGAGGACCAUGCGGAGAAACCCGGCUGCUAACAGGGUCCAGGAGGGUCCAGACUUCAGAGACUCUCCAUCUCCCAAGCGUCCUUCGGUCUGACCUGGGACUCAGCUCCACUUCGCUCAGUCUUCCAAAACGUAUGGGGAAAAGAAUGAUGGCUGGGAGACCAAAGGAAAUGAACCUUUUUGGAAGAUCCAUUUCAAGUCAACAUAUGCAGAAUAUUCAAGUUAAAAAACGCCCAUGUUGUGACUGCAAGCAGAAUUAAGUGGCAAAAUGAAGAAGCCAGUGCUAAGGUGAAAGUGAGACUGUAUUGAACUACAGAGGAGCAGAAGGUCACCUUGCUGGAGUCCUUAUUCUGGAAGUCUAGAAACCACCCCAGACAGAGUAUUUGCAGAUGCUAUUACCCUGGAAUCCUUUAAUGAAGAUUUAAUGUUGUGCACACUGCCUUUAUUGGGAUUCAUCUGCAUUUGAAGAUACUGGUCGCAUGUUAUUUAAUUUCCCUAUAAUAAAUAAAGA